ACUUCCUCAGGCUGGGAACGGCCUCUGGGCCCAGCCCCUUCCCCUUCCCCCGGGACUUCCUCCUGGUUAAUGAGUAGUCAAAGCACCUGGGAAAUGAGGCUCCUGCUGCCGUGAGGCUGGAAUGUGAGUUCUGCUUCCAGAUAGAGUCUUGUGCAAGGGGCCCUGCCUGGGAUGGGCUGUUACAGGCAGUAAACAGAGGUUGCCAAUGUUCCUCUUUUUGAGGCUUGCUGAUGUAUUUGCGCUUGGGAGCCCAUUUUAUAGAAAAGGCUGAGAGGCAGAUUUGCCCUCAGACUUAUCUGAUGCUCCUCCAAGCAGCCCUCUUGGCUUAACACUUUCUGAAAGGGCUCCUCGGCCCCCUGACAUGGCAGGGGUGUCUAGAGGAACAGGGUGGAAGAACAGACCUUGUCAGCUCUGAAGUCUGAGCACUGCUAGGUGUGCGCCCUCCUCACUGGGCACGUCACUUGAGGGCUCUGACCUUCAGGUUCUCAUCUGAGAAGGGGCAUGAUGCGGACAUGGGAAUGUGUGUUAGUUGUUCAGCAGAGCCUGAACUAUUAAUGGACCAGCCCAAAAAAGUAUUGCUGACAGGGGGCAACCCAUGUAGUGGAGUCCAUGGAGCUGGGGAGUCAGGCAGUCCCUAGUUCAAAUCUCUGUUCCAGCCCUGCCGGCUUCGUGACCUGGAGGAGUCACAGAACUACCCUGAGCCUCAGGUAACCCACCCCUGAAAUGGAGCAAUAGUGGCACCCAGGAGGGUUAGAAAGACGGUGAUACUGGGAUUUUGGGGUGGGGGUGACCUCAUCACUUUGUAAGCACAGUGAGGUUAAGUGUGCAAAAGGCCUAGCACAUCAGUGCCAAGCACCCCACAUGCAAUUUCUCAUUUUAUCCCCCAAGGUGAGCCCCCCCUAGAGCAACUCCCCACCCCCUCAGCUAUGGGGCUGAGUCCAGAAAUCAGAUUCACCCUCCCGGUGCCUGGGGCAGCUUAAGGAAGAAAGAAGAUUCUUAACAGGGAGACCCUCUCUGGGCUUGUGGUGAGAUCUCCCACGGGGUGUCUGCCCCCAUGCCCCGCACCCAUUGUAAACUGGUGCAUAUAGGAGUGUUGAUAUAACAGGCCCAUGACUUCCAGUGUUGUCAGAAAAGGCCACCUCAGGCCUGUUCAACAGAAGUGCCAACCUCAACAUUCGCUUCCUAGAAGGCUCAAGACCGUAAUAAAAUGAUAUUUAUUAUUUA
rnacentral:lncRNA from 1 species